AGAGUUUGAUCAUGGCUCAGGAUGAACGCUAGCGGCAGGCCUAACACAUGCAAGUCGAGGGGUAACGAUGGUUUCGGCCAGGCGACGACCGGCGCACGGGUGCGUAACGCGUAUGCAACCUACCUUUAACUGGAAGAUAGCCCCGAGAAAUCGGGAUUAAUACUCCAUAAUAUUUUUUAGUGGCAUCACUUUAAAAUUAAAGCUCCGGCGGUUAAAGAUGGGCAUGCGUGACAUUAGUUAGUUGGUGAGGUAACGGCUCACCAAGACUACGAUGUCUAGGGGUUCUGAGAGGAUUAACCCCCACACUGGUACUGAGACACGGACCAGACUCCUACGGGAGGCAGCAGUGAGGAAUAUUGGGCGAUGGACGCAAGUCUGACCCAGCCAUGCCGCGUGAAGGAUGAAGGCCUUAUGGGUUGUAAACUUCUUUUAUACGGGAAUAAACUUAGCUAUGUAUAGCUAACUGCAUGUACCGUACGAAUAAGCACCGGCUAACUCCGUGCCAGCAGCCGCGGUAAUACGGAGGGUGCAAGCGUUAUCCGGAUUUAUUGGGUUUAAAGGGUCCGCAGGCGGACCAAUAAGUCAGUGGUGAAAUCUCUCGGCUCAACCGAGAAACUGCCAUUGAUACUGUUAGUCUAGAGUGUAGUUGGCGUAGGCGGAAUGUAUCAUGUAGCGGUGAAAUGCUUAGAUAUGAUACAGA
rnacentral:rRNA from 1 species